GGUUAAGCGACUAAGCGUACACGGUGGAUGCCUAGGCAAUCAGAGGCGAUGAAGGACGUGCUAAUCUGCGAUAAGCGUCGGUAAGGUGAUAUGAACCGUUACAACUGACGAUUUCCGAAUGGGGAAACCCAGUGCAAUUCGUUGCACUAUCGUUUGAUGAAUACAUAGUCAAACGAAGCGAACCGGGGGAACUGAAACAUCUCAGUACCCCGAGGAAAAGAAAUCAACCGAGAUUCCCCUAGUAGCGGCGAGCGAACGGGGAGCAGCCCAGAGUCUUAAUCAGCAUUAGCAUCAGGAGAACGGUCUGGAAAGUCCGGCAGUAAAGGGUGAUAGCCCCGUAUCCGAAGGUGUUAGUGUUGUGAACUCGACGAGUAGGGCGGGACACGUGUUAUCCUGUCUGAAUAUGGGGGGACCAUCCUCCAAGGCUAAAUACUCCUGAUUGACCGAUAGUGAACCAGUACCGUGAGGGAAAGGCGAAAAGAACCCCGGCGAGGGGAGUGAAAUAGAACCUGAAACCGUGUACGUACAAGCAGUGGGAGCCUUGAUUUAUCAGGGUGACUGCGUACCUUUUGUAUAAUGGGUCAGCGACUUAUAUUCUUUAGCAAGGUUAACCGUAUAGGGGAGCCGUAGGGAAACCGAGUCUUAACUGGGCGAAUAAGUUGCAGGGUAUAGACCCGAAACCCGGUGAUCUAGCCAUGGGCAGGUUGAAGGUUGGGUAACACUAACUGGAGGACCGAACCGACUAAUGUUGAAAAAUUAGCGGAUGACUUGUGGCUGGGGGUGAAAGGCCAAUCAAACCGGGAGAUAGCUGGUUCUCCCCGAAAGCUAUUUAGGUAGCGCCUCGUGAACUCAUCUUCGGGGGUAGAGCACUGUUUCGACUAGGGGGUCAUCCCGACUUACCAACUCGAUGCAAACUACGAAUACCGAAGAAUGUUAUCACGGGAGACACACGGCGGGUGCUAACGUUCGUCGUGAAGAGGGAAACAACCCAGACCGCCAGCUAAGGUCCCAAAGUCAUAGUUAAGUGGGAAACGAAGUGGGAAGGCUCAGACAGCCAGGAUGUUGGCUUAGAAGCAGCCAUCAUUUAAAGAAAGCGUAAUAGCUCACUGGUCGAGUCGGCCUGCGCGGAAGAUGUAACGGGGCUAAACUAUGCACCGAAGCUGCGGCAGCGAUAUGUAAAUAUUGUUGGGUAGGGGAGCGUUCUGUAAGCCUGUGAAGGUGUGCUGUGAGGCAUGCUGGAGGUAUCAGAAGUGCGAAUGCUGACAUAAGUAACGAUAAUGCGGGUGAAAACCCCGCACGCCGGAAGACCAAGGGUUCCUGUCCAACGUUAAUCGGGGCAGGGUGAGUCGACCCCUAAGGCGAGGCAGAAAUGCGUAGUCGAUGGGAAACGGGUUAAUAUUCCCGUACUGGUGAUAAUUGCGAUGGGGGGGACGGAGAAGGCUAGGCUAUCCGGGCGACGGUUGUCCCGGUUUAAGGAUGUAGGCAGGUGAAUUAGGCAAAUCCGGUUCACUACAUGCUGAGGUCCGACGACGAGUCACUACGGUGAUGAAGUAGCUCAUGCCCCGCUUCCAGGAAAAGCCUCUAAGCUCUAGAUUAUCAUUAAUCGUACCCCAAACCGACACAGGUGGUCAGGUAGAGAAUACUCAGGCGCUUGAGAGAACUCGGGUGAAGGAACUAGGCAAAAUGGUGCCGUAACUUCGGGAGAAGGCACGCUGGCAUUAGGUGAAGUGAUUUACUCAUGGAGCUGAAGCCAGUCGCAGAUACCAGCUGGCUGCAACUGUUUAUUAAAAACACAGCACUGUGCAAACACGAAAGUGGACGUAUACGGUGUGACGCCUGCCCGGUGCUGGAAGGUUAAUUGAUGGGGUUAUCCGUAAGGAGAAGCUCUUGAUCGAAGCCCCAGUAAACGGCGGCCGUAACUAUAACGGUCCUAAGGUAGCGAAAUUCCUUGUCGGGUAAGUUCCGACCUGCACGAAUGGCGUAAUGAUGGCCAGGCUGUCUCCACCCGAGACUCAGUGAAAUUGAACUCGCUGUGAAGAUGCAGUGUACCCGCGGCAAGACGGAAAGACCCCGUGAACCUUUACUAUAGCUUGACACUGAACAUUGAGCCUUGAUGUGUAGGAUAGGUGGGAGGCUUUGAAGCGUGGACGCCAGUCUGCGUGGAGCCAACCUUGAAAUACCACCCUUUAAUGUUUGAUGUUCUAACGUUGCCCCAUUAUCUGGGGUGCGGACAGUGUCUGGUGGGUAGUUUGACUGGGGCGGUCUCCUCCCAAAGAGUAACGGAGGAGCACGAAGGUUGGCUAAGCAUGGUCGGACAUCAUGCGGUUAGUGCAAAGGCAUAAGCCAGCUUGACUGCGAGAGUGACGGCUCGAGCAGGUACGAAAGUAGGUCUUAGUGAUCCGGUGGUUCUGAAUGGAAGGGCCAUCGCUCAACGGAUAAAAGGUACUCCGGGGAUAACAGGCUGAUACCGCCCAAGAGUUCAUAUCGACGGCGGUGUUUGGCACCUCGAUGUCGGCUCAUCACAUCCUGGGGCUGAAGUAGGUCCCAAGGGUACGGCUGUUCGCCGUUUAAAGUGGUACGCGAGCUGGGUUUAGAACGUCGUGAGACAGUUCGGUCCCUAUCUGCCGUGGGCGUUGGAAGAUUGAAAGGGGCUGCUCCUAGUACGAGAGGACCGGAGUGGACGCACCACUGGUGUUCGGGUUGUCAUGCCAAUGGCAUUGCCCGGUAGCUAAGUGCGGAAGAGAUAACCGCUGAAAGCAUCUAAGCGGGAAACUUGCCUUGAGAUGAGUCUUCCCUGACUCUUUAAGAGUCCUAAAGGAACGUUUAAGACUAAGACGUUGAUAGGUUGGGUGUGUAAGCGUAGCGAUACGUUGAGCUAACCAAUACUAAUGAACCGUGAGGCUUAACCUG
rnacentral:rRNA from 1 species